CUAUGACUCAAAAACAUUUUGAAAUAGCAAACAGGUGUGGAGAACGUGACCAUAGGUCAAGAACAUAUUUAAUGCCAAGAGCAUAUUUAAUGCCAUUGUUUUCCUGUGGUUGCCAUGCGAAAUUCAUUAAAACAAAGUGAGCACUGCUUUUUAUAGAACGUCAUAAGAACAAAAGAAACCAACGUUACCAAGUAUUACAAUAUUAAGUAUUAUGUUUCAGGAACUGCAUUGUUCAAGUGAUGGACAUGAGUGCUACCCAAAAUCCUAUGACUUGUUGAAGAGUGGUGCUGAUUUACGACUUUUGGCAUACGAUAACACACAGACCUACAUUGAAGGAGUGACCCAUCAAUGUCUAUAGAUAACAUAGCAACCACACAGCAACUUCUGAAACAUAUCAGUUUAUUUCCUGUAUUCUGACUGGUUCAAACAAGCGGUUACGUUUGCAGGAUUAACUGUUCAACCUAUUAGUUCCUGAAGGGUUGUAACAUGAUAGAGUGAAAUAUUAUAGAGUGAUUUUCCAGUCCAUCGUCUAUUAGGCUACAAAACAAAACAAAAAUAUACUUCAAAUAUAAGUAAACAAGAAAUCACUGCUUUCAGAGAUUCUAAUCACCUGGAUUAUAUUGUUGAGAAACAACUUUAUUGGAUCUAACUAUGUUUAACUUUCAGGGAGCAUGCACACAUCUUGUUGCUGGUUGAUGUUGAAAUUUAACAGAGGAGACACACUGAUGGCUGGUGCAUUUGCAAUUGGCUAAAUCAUUUUCAUUUCAAACAAAAACAACCAUCUUACAGGAACUUUCUAAACAUGUAUUUAUGGAAAAUACUGCACUUUAUUGCCUUACUUCUGCUGCUGCAUUUCAUCUGCAUUGGAGCAAACACAGAUCAAUGUUCUGAGUUUACAACUGAAAUAUCUUCAGCUACUGCUGAAAAAACCACAAGCCAACAGACAAAAAACAGCCCUACUAUUUGUACCACAAAAACAGAAUCUACAUCACUUACAACAGACGAGUUCCCUGUGACCUCAUUUGAAACAUCUACAAAGAAAACUGGUCCAACACUGGAAACUACACUAUACGCAACAGGUACCUCUACAUCUCAAGGAACUUCCACAUCAGAAAAGCAGACUACAUCAUCUAUGACUGAGUUUACAACAGAAAUAACAUCAGCUACUGUAGAACAAGCCACAAGCCAACAGACACAAACCAGUCCUGAUAGUUCCCAUACAAUAACAGAAUCAACACCCUUCACAACAGAAGAGUCCACUGGGACUACAAUCACAUCGGAAUCUUCUACGAUGGAAACUACAAUAAACACAACAGGUACCUCUCCAUCUCCUGUAACUUCAACAACAGAAGAGCAGAAUACAUCAUCUAUGACUGAGUUUACAACUGAAACAACAUCAGCUACUGUAGAACUAACCACAAGCCAACAGACACAAACCAGUCCUGAUAGUUCCCCCACAAUACCAGAAUCAACACCCUUCACAACAGAAGAGUCCACUGGGACAACAAUCACAUCGGAAUCUUCUACGAUGGCAACAACAAUAUACACAACAGGUACCUCUCCAUCUCCAGUAACUUCAACAACAGAAGAGCAGAAUUCAUCAUCUAUGACUGAGUUUACAACAGAAACUUCAGCUACUGUAGAACUAACCAAAAGCCAACAGACACAAACCAAUCCUGAUAGUUCCCCCACAAUACCAGAAUCAACACCCUUCAAAACAGAAGAGUCCACUGAGACUACAACCACAUCUGAAUCUUCUACAAUGGAAACACUAUACACAACAGGUACCUCUCCAUCUCCGGUAACUUCAACAACAGAAGAGCAGAAUACAUCAUCUAUGACUGAGUUUACAACUGAAACAAUAUCAGCUACUGUAGAACUAACCACAAGCCAACAGACACAAACCAAUUCUGAUAGUUCCCCCACAAUAACAGAAUCAACACCCUUCACAACAGAAGAGUCCACUGGGACUACAAUCACAUCAGAAUCUUCUACAAUGGAAACGACAAUAUACACAACAGGUACCUCUCCAUCUCCGGUAACUUCAACAACAGAAGAGCAGAAUACAUCAUCUAUGACUGAGUUUACAACAGAAACUUCAGCUACUGUAGAACUAACCACAAGCCAACAGACACAAACCAAUCCUGGUAGUUCCCCCACAAUACCAGAAUCAACACCCUUCACAACAGAAGAGUCCACUGGGACUACAAUCACAUCAGAAUCUUCUACAAUGGAAACGACAAUAUACACAGCAGGUACCUCUCCAUCUCCAGUAACUUCAACAACAGAGGAGCAGAAUACAUCAUCUAUGACUGAGUUUACAACUGAAACAAUAUCAGCUACUGUAGUACCAACCACAAGCCAACCGAUACAAACCAGUCCUGAUAGUUCCCCUACAAUAACAGAAUCAACACCCUUCACAACAGAAGAGUCCACUGGGACUACAACCACAUCUGAAUCUUCUACAAUGGAAACACUAUACACAACAGGUACCUCUGCAUCUCCGGUAAUUUUAACAACAGAGGAGCAGAAUAAAUCAUCUAUGACUGAGUUUACAACUGAAACAAUAUCAGCUACUGUAGUACCAACCACAAGCCAACCGAUACAAACCAGUCCUGAUAGCUCCCCCACAAUAACAGAAUCAACACCCUUCACAACAGAAGAGUCCACUGGGACAACAAUCACAUCGGAAUCUUCUACAAUGAAAACUACAGUGUACACAACCGGUAACUCUCCAUCUCCGGUAACUUUAACAACAGAAGAGCAGACUACAUCAUCUAUGACUGAGUUCACAACAGAAACUUCAGCUACUGUAGAACUAACCAAAAGCCAACAGACACAAACCAAUCCUGAUAGUUCCCCCACAAAACCAGAAUCAACACCCUUCACAAGAGAAGAGUCCACUGGGACUACAACCACAUCGGAAUCUUCUACAAUGAAAACACUAUACACAAAAGGUACCUCUGCAUCUCCGGUAACUUCAACAACAGAGGAGCAGAAUACAUCAUCUAUGACUGAGUUUACAACCGAAACAAUAUCAGCUACUGUAGAACUAACCACAAGCCAACAGACACAAACCAGUCCUGAUAGUUCCCCCACAAUAACAGAAUCAACACCCUUCACAACAGAAGAGUCCACUGGGACUACAAUCACAUCAGAAUCUUCUACGAUGGAAACGACAAUAUACACAACAGGUACCUCUCCAUCUCCGGUAACUUCAACAACAGAAGAGCAGAAUACAUCAUCUAUGACUGAGUUUACAACCGAAACAAUAUCAGCUACUGUAGAACUAACCACAAGCCAACAGACACAAACCAAUCCUGAUAGUUCCCCCACAAUACCAGAAUCAACACCCUUCACAACAGAAGAGUCCACUGGGACUACAAUCACAUCAGAAUCUUCUACAAUGGAAACGACACUAUACACAACAGGUACCUCUGCAUCUCUGGUAACUUCAACAACAGAGGAGCAGAAAACAUCAUCUAUGGCUGAGUUUACAACCGAAACAAUAUCAGCUACUGUAGAACUAACCACAAGCCAACAGACACCAACCAGUCCUGAUAGUUCCCCCACAAUACCAGAAUCAACACCCUUCACAACAGAAGAGUCCACUAGGACAACAAUCACAUCGGAAUCUUCUACAAUGAAAACUACAGUAUACACAACAGGUACCUCUCCAUCUCUAGUAACUUCAAAAACAGAAGAGCAGACUACAUUAUCUAUGACUGAGUUUACAACCGAAACAAUAUCAGCUACUGUAGAACUAACCACAAGCCAACAGAUACAAACCAAUCCUGUUAGUUCCCCCACAAUACCAGAAUCAACACCCUUCACAACAGAAGAGUCCACUGGGACUACAACCACAUCUGAAUCUUCUACAAUGGAAACAUUAUACACAACAGGUAGCUCUGCAUCUCCAGUAACUUCAACAACAGAGGAGCAGAAUACAUUAUCUAUGACUGAGUUUACAACCAAAACAAUAUCAGCUAUUGUAGAACUAACCACAAGCCAACAGACACAAACCAGUCCUGAUAGUUCCCCAACAAUAACAGAAUCAACACCCUUCACAACAGAAGAAUCCACUGGGACAACAAUCAAAUCAGAAUCUUCUACGAUGGAAACGACAAUAUACACAACAGGUACCUCUCCAUCUCCGGUAACUUCAACAACAGAAGAGCAGAAUACAUCAUCUAUGACUGAGUUUACAACAGAAACAAUAUCAGCUACUGUAGAACUAACCACAAGCCAACAGACACCAACCAGUCCUGAUAGUUCCCCCACAAUAACAGAAUCAACACCCUUCACAACAGAAGAGUUCACUGGGACUACAACCACAUCGGAAUCUUCUACGAUGGCAACGACAAUAUACACAACAGGUACCUCUGCAUCUCCAGUAACUUCAACAACAGAGGAGCAGAAAACAUUAUUUAUGACUGAGUUUACAACCGAAACAAUAUCAGCUACUGUAGUACCAACCACAAGCCAACAAACACAAACCAGUCCUGAUAGUUCCCCCACAAUAACAGAAUCAACACCCUUCACAACAGAAGAGUCCACUGGGACUACAAUCACAUCGGAAUCUUCUACGAUGGAAACUACAAUAAACACAACAGGUACCUCUCCAUCUCCUGUAACUACAACAACAGAAGAGCAGAAUUCAUCAUCUAUGACUGAGUUUACAACAGAAACUUCAGCUACUGUAGAACUAACCAAAAGCCAACAGACACAAACCAAUCCUGAUAGUUCCCCCACAAUACCAGAAUCAACACCCUUUACAACAGAAGAGUCCACUGGGACUACAAUAACAUCAGAAUCUUCUACAAUGGAAACGACAAUAUACACAACAGGUACCUCUGCAUCUCCGGUAACUUCAACAACAGAGGAGCAGAAUACAUCAUCUAUGACUGAGUUUACAACUGAAACAAUAUCAGCUACUGUAGUACCAACCACAAGCCAACAGAUACAAACCAGUCCUGAUAGUUUCCCCACAAUAACAGAAUCAAAACCCUUCACAACAGAAGAGUCCACUGGGACAACAACCACAUCGGAAUCUUCUACGAUGGCAACGACAAUAUACACAACAGGUACCUCUGCAUCUCCGGUAACUUCAAUAACAGAAGAGCAGACUACAUCAUCUAUGACUGAGUUUACAACAGAAACUUCAGCUACUGUAGAACUAACCACAAGCCAACAGACACAAACCAAUCCUGGUAGUUCCCCCACAAUACCAGAAUCAACACCCUUCACAACAGAAGAGUCCACUAGGACUACAAUCACAUCAGAAUCUUCUACAAUGGAAACGACAAUAUACACAACAGGUACCUCUGCAUCUCCAGUAACUUCAACAACAGAGGAGCAGAAUACAUCAUCUAUGACUGAGUUUACAACUGAAACAAUAUCAGCUACUGUAGAACUAACCACAAGCCAACCGAUACAAACCAGUCCUUAUAGUUCCCCCACAAUAACAGAAUCAACACCCUUCACAACAGAAGAGUCCACUGGGACUACAACCACAUCGGAAUCUUCUACAAUGGAAACGACAGUGUACACAACCGGUAACUCUCCAUCUCCGGUAACUUCAACAACAGAAGAGCAGAUUACAUCAUCUAUGACUGAGUUCACAACAGAAACUUCAGCUACUGUAGAACUAACCAAAAGCCAACAGACACAAACCAAUCCUGAUAGUUCCCCCACAAAACCAGAAUCAACACCCUUCACAACAGAAGAGUCCACUGGGACUACAACCACAUCUGAAUCUUCUACAAUGGAAACUACAGUAUACACAACAGGUACCUCUCCAUCUCCGGUAACUUCAACAACAGAAGAGCAGAAUACAUCAUCUAUGACUGAGUUUACAACUGAAACAAUAUCAGCUACUGUAGUACCAACCACAAGCCAACAGAUACAAACCAGUCCUGAUAGUUCCCCCACAAUAACAGAAUCAACACCCUUCACAACAGAAGAGUCCACAGGGACUACAAUCACAUCGGAAUCUUCUACAAUGGAAACACAAUACACAACAGGUACCUCUCCAUCUCCGGUAACAUCAACAACAGAAGAGCAGACUACAUCAUCUAUGACUGAGUUUACAACAGAAACUUCAGCUACUGUAAAACUAACCACAAGCCAACAGACACAAACCAAUCCUGUUAGUUCCCCCACAAUACCAGAAUCAACACCCUUCACAUCAGAAGAGUCCACUGGGACUACAACCACAUCGGAAUCUUCUACAAUGGAAACACUAUACACAACAGGUACCUCUGCAUCUCCGGUAACUUCAACAACAGAGGAGCAGAAUACAUCAUCUAUGACUGAGUUUACAACCGAAACAAUAUCAGCUAUUGUAAAACUAACCACAAGCCAACAGACACAAACCAAUCCUGAUAGUUCCCCCACAAUACCAGAAUCAACACCCUUCACAACAGAAGAGUCCACUGGGACUACAAUCACAUCGGAAUCUUCUACGAUGGAAACGACAAUAUACACAACAGGUACCUCUCCAUCUCCGGUUACUUCAACAACAGAAGAGCAAAAUACAUCAUCUAUGACUGAGUUUACAACUGAAACAAUAUCAGCUACUGUAGUACCAACCACAAGCCAACCGAUACAAACCAGUCCUGAUAGUUCCCCCACAAUAACAGAAUCAACACCCUUCACAACAGAAGAGUCCACUGGGACUACAAUCACAUCGGAAUCUUCUACAAUGGAAACUACAGUAUACACAACCGGUAACUCUCCAUCUCCGGUAACUUCAACAACAGAAGAGCAGAAUUCAUCAUCUAUGACUGAGUUUACAACAGAAACUUCAGCUACUGUAGAACUAACCAAAAGCCAACAGACACAAACCAAUCCUGAUAGUUCCCCCACAAUAACAGAAUCAACACCCUUCACAACAGAAGAGUCCACUGGGACUACAAUCACAUCAGAAUCUUCUACAAUGGAAACUACAAUAUACACAACAGGUACCUCUCCAUCUCCGGUAACUUCAACAACAGAAGAGCAGACUACAUCAUCUAUGACUGAGUUUACAACAGAAACUUCAGCUACUGUAGAACUAACCAAAAGCCAACAGACACAAACCAAUCCUGAUAGUUCCCCCACAAAACCAGAAUCAACACCCUUCACAACAGAAGAGUCCACUGGGACUACAAUCACAUCGGAAUCUUCUACAAUGGAAACUACAGUGUACACAACCGGUAACUCUCCAUCUCCGGUAACUUCAACAACAGAAGAGCAGACUACAUCAUCUAUGACUGAGUUCACAACAGAAACUUCAGCUACUGUAGAACUAACCAAAAGCCAACAGACACAAACCAAUCCUGGUAGUUCCCCCACAAUACCAGAAUCAACACCCUUCACAACAGAAGAGUCCACUGGGACUACAAUCACAUCGGAAUCUUCUACAAUGGAAACGACAAUAUACACAACAGGUACCUCUCCAUCUCCAGUAACUUCAACAACAGAGGAGCAGAAUACAUCAUCUAUGACUGAGUUUACAACUGAAACAAUAUCAGCUACUGUAGUACCAACCACAAGCCAGCAGACACAAACCAGUCCUGAUAGUUCCCCCACAAUAACAGAAUCAACACCCUUCACAACAGAAGAGUCCACUGGGACUACAAUCACAUCGGAAUCUUCUACGAUGGAAACUACAAUAAACACAACAGGUACCUCUCCAUCUCCGGUUACUUCAACAACAGAAGAGCAGAAUACAUCAUCUAUGACUGAGUUUACAACAGAAACAAUAUCAGCUACUGUAGGACUAACCACAAGCCAACAGACACCAACCAGUCCUGAUAGUUCCCCCACAAUACCAGAAUCAACAUCCUUCACAACAGAAGAGUCCACUGGGACUACAAUCACAUCGAAAUCUUCUACAAUGGAAACACUAUACACAACCGGUACCUCUCCAUCUCCGGUUUCUUCAACAACAGCAGAGCAGAAUACAUCAUCUAUGACUGAGUUUACAACUGAAACAAUAUCAGCUACUGUAGUA
rnacentral:lncRNA from 1 species